rfam:Hordeum vulgare subsp. vulgare, WGS project CAJW01000000 data, contig: morex_contig_143103
UCAAUACUCCCUCCAUCCGGAAAUACUUGUCCUAGAAAUGGAUGUAUCUAGACUUAUUUUAGUUAUAUAUGCAUCUAUUUUUUUCAUUUCUAGGACAUGUAUUUAUUUCCGAACGGAGGGAGUAUUCA